GUCGGUUGGUAAUUCUAUAUAUUAAGGGUUCAUUCACUGACCUGGGAGCUGACGAGAGCGAAGCCCCCCGGAUACACUUUGCGUAAUAAAGGCAGAGCCCACGUUUCUCUUUAGAAGAGGAGGGCUGGCCCUGCAUAAUGUGUACUUCAAACCGGGGGGCUGUUUAAAUAAUACAUUUGCUUUAAAUCAGGUCAUCCAUCCUACAGCUGGAGCUAAUCUCAUGGUCCUUCAUAAUGUGAACUGAAACUGCAUUAACUAUACAUUUUACGGGGGCUGGCUCACUGAUUUAUCUAUACAUUAUACAGGGCAUUUCACUGAGUCAGCUAUACAUUAUGCAGGGGCCAGCGUCGCCCCUCCAUAACGCGCAGUGAGCUCUCCCGUGAUCUAGCAGUUUAGUGAAUACAGCGGGUGUUUGCGCUCGGCACGUGAUGCGGACGGCCGUGCGAUGGAGCAGCCGUGUCAGGAGUGUAGUUUUUGGGGGUGCGUUUCCUGUGCUGUCCCCGGCGGCCCUGUCUGUCACUUCAAGUACUUUAAUAAAGCUGGAUUUUAUUUUGCGUUAA